CGUCCAUUUAACUUAUCAAUAAUUCUAUCAUUUUAUAAAAUAUUCCAAACAAAUAAAUUUUUUUUACAAACUCAUUUGAAUUAAAUUCUUUUAAUAGAAUUGAAUUCUAACCUAAGAAUCAUUCCCAACAAGGCUAUUCAGUGAAUUUAUAACGCGCAAUCGCACUUCCAUCAAAAUGAUUCCUGGAAGAUCAGCAACCCAACAGCAGGUAAAGGCAGAGCACUAACAAAGGAGCAAGUAAGAACUUGUGGUUAAACAAGAAACAGCCCUAAAUAUGGGAUAAGACACACAUAUGGGUCCCUUCAAGUAAGAUUGAUUUUACAAUUCCACUGCUUCUACCUACUACGAGUGUUAGGCAUGGAGAAGUUCAAAAGGCAAUAAAGAUUAGUAAGACAACCUAAAUCCAGGGCAAAGGCAUAACUACAAAGGUACUCCCUGCCAUUGACCCAAGGUACAUUUUCAUUCUGAUCAUAGCAAACCUAAGUAAAUCACCAUUUCAUCCACCCACGUUAAUUCACAAUGACAAAAAUAAAGUAACAGCGAAGGGGUAAAAAAAAAAAAAAA
rnacentral:misc_RNA from 1 species